GAUGAACGCUAGCUACAGGCUUAACACAUGCAAGUCGCGGGACCGGCGCACGGGUGAGUAAAGCGUAUCCAACCUGCCCUUCACCACGGGAUAACCCGGCGAAAGUCGGACUAAUACCGGAUGGUGGAGGAUGGGGCGGCGUCCGAUUAGCUUGACGGCGGGGUAACGGCCCACAGGGGCUAAGAUCGGUGUGGGUUCUGAGAGGAAGGUCCCCCACACUGGAACGGAGACACGGUCCAGACUCCUACGGGAGGCAGCAGUGAGGAAUAUUGGUCAAUGGGCGUAAGCCUGAACCAGCCAAGUAGCGGGCAGGACGACGGCCUAUGGGUGGUAAACUGCUUUUAUGCGGGGAUAGGUACCGCAUGAAUAAGGACCGGCUAAUUCCGUGCCAGCAGCCGCGGUAAUUC
rnacentral:rRNA from 1 species